AUCACCACACGGAGGGCGCGACAGCCGCGGUAGCGGCGACUGGCGAGCGCGGCCCCCCGCCGCGGCCACCAGGAGCGUGAGGUGGUGGCUCCCGCCGCCGCCUAGGAGCAGCGCGGCGCUCCCGGGGGUUCAGGACCUAUGCCAGCGUCGUGGAGUCGUACGACGCCGACGCGGGCUACUUCCGCGUGGGACGGCGACUCGGAGGAGGUCGACAUUGAUGGGAUGGCCGAGAUACUCGUCGGCCCCGUGAUGCCGGAGGCACUGCAGCGGACGCCGCGGGGAGGCGGCCGCUGCUUCCAAAGAUGGGACCGCAGCAGUCUGGGAGGAAGCGUCCUCGUGGAAAUGGAAGUGGACGCUAUCGGUCUGUCUCCAGGGAUUUGGAGGAAGCCGCUACGCCCCCGACGCCGGUGCUGCCGCCUUUGGAGGAAGAAGAAAUGGAGGUGGAAGAAGAUGUGUGGGCCCCACUGGUCAUAGUGGGAGGAGAGGGCACAACCUGUUCUAUAUUAAAGCAGGGGCAGUGUGGUCAUUUCGCGUUACCCUGCCAGGUCGGCAAAUUUGGCAAAUUGUUAGGGCCUGUUUGGGACGGUUUCACCGGUUCCGGCUUCGUCUACUGUAGUGCACUGUAGCGGCGCUGUAGCACGGAGCCGGUGAAGCCACCCUUUCCUAGCUUCACCGGCUUCACUCCUCCCGCAGUUGACUGUAGCGCAGAGCUAGUUCGUGCUACAGCUCUCUACGGACGGCUCCGGCUCUGUGCUACAGUGUCGCGGCACUCCUCCCUUUGGGAGGGCUCUCGACGGACGGCUUCACUCCUCCCUUUGGGAGGGCUCCGGCUCUGUGCUACAGUGCGCUACAGUACGAGCCGGAGGCGGUGAAGCCGUCCCAAACAGGCCCUUAGUCUCGCGCGAAGAGGAGUGGCAAAAAUAUAAGAACCACUAUAAAGAUGGCAAACGAAGGAGUGCCAAGAUGGCAAAUAGUUAAAUAACGAUGGAGUGCAUAAACUGACUUACACCUGACCCCUAAUUGAGUUGGGCCUGGUCAUAUAGAGGCCCACGACAGCCCAACAGGGGAUAUAUGCAUUACUUCUCCGGAUAUAGAAAUAAAAGGGUAGAACAUAAUAUUGAUUGAAGGAAUCUUUUUAACUACUACUUGCCCAAUGUUGAACCAGCCGCAAUGGCGCAAUCGAUCACGCGACUAGGGCAGGGGCACAGGGCGUCGGCGUACCAUCUGGGACCGGCUGAUUGCCUGCCAUGGCUGCGUGGGAGAGGCCCUCUGGGUAGCUCCCGCGCCGUCGUCCGCUGCUUUGCUUCAAGUGACGCCUGCGGCUUGCCAAUCGAUUGAUGGUGUCGUCUGAUCCACUAUUCCUUUUAAUUCUCCUGGUUGGCUGGAAGUUUGGAUGUACACGUGCUCAAGCUAAACUUUGAGCGGUACCUGCUACAAGUCGAGGUUGCUGCUGCGCCGGAGCUGCCCAUCUCAUUGCCUGUCCACCAGGUUGCUGCACUGGAGGCGCCGAGCUCGUCUGUCCAACAGGUUGCCGCGCUGGAAGCGCCCAGCUCGUCGGCCAGAGUGCGGCAUCAGUCGCCCAGCUCAUCAUGUAAAGACCGUAGUAGGAAGGUGAGGAGAGUCAAACCUGAUUGUUUGGAUCGAUAGUGUUGUGUCCGCAAAUCUUUUUUAAUAGAUAAUUUUUGUUACCACUAUAAUUGUAAGGUUUCGAAAAUUCAAAUACUGCAUAGAAACUUGAAUAAGGAAGAGCGCGGUUGUAAGAACAUAGCCUGUUGUACAAAUCUAUCUUGCUUGCCCAAAUUGACCGCUUUUCACUUGCGUUUUGUGCAAAUCAUGUUGAAGAGAAGGGGGGAAAUGGGCAAGUGGAGAUGCUCUUGUCAACCAGCAUGAACUCUGAUUUUAUGGGGCUCUGCUCACCCUUCUUUAUAUUGCUCGGGUUGAUGCGUCUGUCUGAUGCUAAUUAAUUCACUUAGGGCGAGAGGAAAAGGAGGGUUGGAGUAAGGACAAAGGAGAUGAGCCCCACUAACCCUGGGUCACCACUGCAAAAGCCUAGGGGCAAUAGUUUGAGGGCCUCAAAUCGCUUCACGAUAAUGACGGAAGCUCUAAAGCGAAUCAGCGGCACAAAAAACAAUACAGAUGUUGGCGUACCUAGGUGAAGCAUGUGUAAUGAUGAAUAUAUGUGAAAAAAUGAAUUAUAUUAUUAUUA